rnacentral:rRNA from 1 species
AACGAACGCUGGCGGCAUGCCUAACACAUGCAAGUCGAACGAAGCCUUCGGGCUUAGUGGCGCACGGGUGCGUAACACGUGGGAAUCUGCCCUUCGGUUCGGAAUAACAGUUAGAAAUGACUGCUAAUACCGGAUGAUGACGUAAGUCCAAAGAUUUAUCGCCGAAGGAUGAGCCCGCGUAGGAUUAGGUAGUUGGUAGGGUAAUGGCCUACCAAGCCGACGAUCCUUAGCUGGUCUGAGAGGAUGAUCAGCCACACUGGGACUGAGACACGGCCCAGACUCCUACGGGAGGCAGCAGUGGGGAAUAUUGGACAAUGGGCGAAAGCCUGAUCCAGCAAUGCCGCGUGAGUGAUGAAGGCCUUAGGGUUGUAAAGCUCUUUUACCUAGGGAUGAUAAUGACAGUACCUGGAGAAUAAGCUCCGGCUAACUCCGUGCCAGCAGCCGCGGUAAU